AAAUCAUGUAAGAAGGACACUUUCUGAUCAAUUGUUUGUAUCUUUCCCAAGCUUCAUAGAGGGAUUCACCUUCCUUCUGUAUGAAGGUUUGGACUUCCACUCUAAGCUU